rnacentral:lncRNA from 1 species
GGAGGACGUCACAGGGAUGCUGUGCGAGGCGCAGCUCCACUGCUUAGCUGCAGAAGGCCAGGAGUGGACGCUGGGCCCUGCGGUGCCCAGGGCUUCUCCGUGGAGAAAGAAAAGCGCACCAGGGCAAGAAACUGGAUCAGCACGACGCACACAGACAUCGCGCUGUGUGACCACAGCCCCACGGCGCCACAUCCCCAAGCCAGGUUCCUCGCUCUGAAGACCACUCAGCGGCCCAGCCAAAACCCCUUUCUGCCCCACCGUGAGCCGGUCUUGGAAGUAACUGGGAUUAUCAGAUUCAUUUGAAUAUCUUUCUCACGCAGUGUUUUAACAUUUG